rnacentral:rRNA from 1 species
UACGGAGGAUGCAAGCGUUAUCCGGAAUGAUUGGGCGUAAAGCGUCCGCAGGUGGCUGUGUAAGUCUGCUGUCAAAGAGCGAAGCUCAACUUCGUAAAGGCAGUGGAAACUACACGGCUAGAGUGCGUUCGGGGCAGAGGGAAUUCCUGGUGUAGCGGUGAAAUGCGUAGAGAUCAGGAAGAACACCGGUGGCGAAAGCGCUCUGCUAGGCCGCAACUGACACUCAUGGACGAAAGCUAGGGGAGCGAAUGGG